GGUUCUGCGUGGAAGGGCCAUCGCUCAACGGAUAAAAGCUACCCUGGGGAUAACAGGCUUAUCUCCCCCAAGAGUCCACAUCGACGGGGAGGUUUGGCACCUCGAUGUCGGCUCAUCACAUCCUGGGGCUGUAGUAGGUCCCAAGGGUUGGGCUGUUCGCCCAUUAAAGUGGUACGCGAGCUGGGUUCAGAACGUCGUGAGACAGUUCGGUCCCUAUCCGUCGCAGGCGUAGGAAAUUUGAGAAGACCUGUCCUUAGUACGAGAGGACCGGGAUGGACGUACCUCUGGUGUACCAGUUGUUCUGCCAAGGGCAUGGCUGGGUAGCUAUGUACGGAAUGGAUAAGCGCUGAAAGCAUCUAAGCGCGAAGCCAACUUCAAGAUAAGAUUUCCCACCGCAAGGGUAAGACCCCAGAAAGACUAUCUGGUUGAUAGGUCGAAGGUGUAAGUGCAGCAAUGUAUUUAGCUUAUCGAUACUAAUAGGUCGAGGACUUGACCAAU
rnacentral:rRNA from 1 species